rnacentral:tRNA from 1 species
GGGGAUUUAGCUCAGUGGUAGAGCGCUUGCCUAGCAAGUGCAAGGCCCUGGGUUCAGUGCCCAGCUCCCCCC